rnacentral:rRNA from 1 species
UACGUAGGGUGCGAGCGUUAAUCGGAAUUACUGGGCGUAAAGCGUGCGCAGGCGGUUUGUUAAGCCAGAUGUGAAAGCCCCGGGCUCAACCUGGGAACUGCGUUUGGUACUGGCAAGCUAGAGUACGGCAGAGGGGGGUGGAAUUCCACGUGUAGCAGUGAAAUGCGUAGAUAUGUGGAGGAACACCGAUGGCGAAGGCAGCCCCCUGGGCCGAUACUGACGCUCAGGCACGAAAGCGUGGGGAGCAAACAGG